rnacentral:rRNA from 1 species
UAUGAACGCUGGCGGCGUGCCUAAUACAUGCAAGUCGAACGCUGGAAAUCUAGCUUGCUCGAUUGAAGGAGUGGCGAACGGGUGAGUAAUACAUAAGCAACCUACCCACGAAGACUGGGAUAAUCUCUGGAAACGGGGACUAAUACCGGAUAGGUAAUCGGAAGGCAUCUUCUGAUUAUUAAAGGUUAAAAACACUGGUGGAUGGGCUUAUGGCGCAUUAGUUAGUUGGUGAGGUAACGGCCCACCAAGACGAUGAUGCGUAGCCGGCCUGAGAGGGUGAACGGCCACAUUGGGACUGAGACACGGCCCAGACUCCUACGGGAGGCAGCAGUAGGGAAUUUUCGGCAAUGGGGGAAACCCUGACCGAGCAACGCCGCGUGAGAGAUGACGGCCUUCGGGUUGUAAAGCUCUGUUGUAAGGGAAGAACGGUAGAUAGAGAAUAUCUAAAUGACGGUACCUUACCAGAAAGCCACGGCUAACUACGUG